CAGCAGCCGCGGUAAUACGUAGGUGGCAAGCGUUGUCCGGAAUUAUUGGGCGUAAAGCGCGCGCAGGCGGUCUUUUAAGUCUGAUGUGAAAGCCCACGGCUCAACCGUGGAGGGUCAUUGGAAACUGGAGGACUUGAGUGCAGAAGAGGAGAGUGGAAUUCCACGUGUAGCGGUGAAAUGCGUAGAUAUGUGGAGGAACACCAGUGGCGAAGGCGGCUCUCUGGUCUGUAACUGACGCUGAGGCGCGAAAGCGUGGGGAGCAAACAGGAUUAGAUACCCCCGUAGUCCCUGUCUCUUAUAC
rnacentral:rRNA from 1 species